UGAAAGGAGAAUAUCACUUGGAGCUAGGCUGCUUCCUUAGGAGGAGUGCUGCAUAGCCAUAGAUUCCCUUCACCAGUUGGCCUGUUGCCUCUAGCCAGAAGCCUCUCUUUGUGGGCAGAGUGAGUCUUGUUUCUUGUCAUUCACCACAAC